ensembl:lncRNA
AGGAGGAAGGAAGAAGAAGGAAGAAGGAGGAAGAAGAAAGAAAAAGGAAGAAGAAGGAAGAAGAAAGUAGGAAGAAGGAAGGAAAGAAGAAGGAAGGAAAGAAGGAAGAAAAAGGAGGAAGAAGAAAGAAGAAAGAAGAAGAAGAAGGAGGAAGAAGGAGGAGGAAGAGAAGGAGGAGGAGGAGGAGGUAGAAGAAGAAGGAGGUAGAAGGUGGAGGAGGAGGAGAAGGAGGAAGAGGAAGGAGGUAGAAGGUGGAGAAGGAGGUAGAAGGUGGAGGAGGAGGAGAAGGAGUGGAGGAGGAGGAGGAGGAGGAGAAGGAGAAGGAGAGAAGGAGGAGGAGGAGAAGAAGGAGGAGAAGACUAUUUCCACAGCAGACGUGUGUGAAAUUCAGCUGUAAGCUGGUUAUAGUGUGAAAUGAAGAAAGAAUGAAAAUGAACUGGUGAAAAGGGCAGACAAUAACGACACCUAUAUAAAUAUAAAACCUGCACAGAAGAUACAACACUCAGAUCAUUCGACUGUUCUACGUGUAACAGUAGAGCAAACAAUUCAAACACAAGUUUCAAGAUUUUUAGGGCUAUAUUACUUUACUCCAACACUGAAAAAUAUCGCGCAUAAAUUUACACGCCCCCGCGGAGGACGCGGUGAAGCACGACCGCGAGGACUAGCUCUAUAUUUAACAUACAGCUGAGCAUUCUUC